rnacentral:rRNA from 1 species
AACGAACGCUGGCGGCAGGCCUAAAACAUGCAAGUCGAACGAACCUUCGGGUUAGUGGCGCACGGGUGCGUAACGCGUGGGAAUAUGCCCUUCACUGCGGAACAACGUCGGGAAACUGACGCUAAUACCGCAUAAUGACUCCGGCCCAAAGAUUUAUCGGUGAAGGAUUAGCCAGCGUCUGAUUAGCUAGUUGGUGAGGUAACGGCUCACCAAGGCGACGAUCAGUAGCUGGUCUGAGAGGAUGAUCAGCCACACUGGAACUGAGACACGGUCCAGACUCCUACGGGAGGCAGCAGUUAGGAAUAUUGGACAAUGGGGGAAACCCUGAUCCAGCCAUACCGCGUGCGUGAAGAAGGCCUUAGGGUUGUAAAGCACUUUCAGCUGUGAAGAUAAUGACAGUAGCAGAAGAAGAAGCUCCGGCUAAAUUCGUGCCAGCAGCCGCAGUAA